rnacentral:rRNA from 1 species
CGGGGGGCAGCAGUGAGGAAUAUUGGUCAAUGGGCGCAAGCCUGAACCAGCCAUGCCGCGUGAAGGAUGAAGGUUCUAUGGAUUGUAAACUUCUUUUAUUUGGGAAUAAACCUCUUUACGUGUAGAGAGCUGAAGGUACCAAACGAAUAAGCACCGGCUAACUCCGUGCCAGCAGCCGCGGUAAUACGGAGGGUGCAAGCGUUAUCCGGAAUCAUUGGGUUUAAAGGGUCCGCAGGCGGAUGUAUAAGUCAGUGGUGAAAUCUCUCGGCUCAACCGAGAAACUGCCAUUGAUACUGUACGUCUUGAAUUCGGUCGAAGUGGGCGGAAUAUGACAUGUAGCGGUGAAAUGCUUAGAUAUGUCAUAGAACACCGAUAGCGAAGGCAGCUCACUAGGCCUGGAUUGACGCUCAGGGACGAAAGCGUGGGGAGCAAACAGGAUUAGAUACCCGAGU